UGGCUAGCUGGCUGCUGGAGCGG
rnacentral:piRNA from 1 species